GAAAUGCGAUAAGUAAUGUGAAUUGCAGAAUUCAGUGAAUCAUCGAAUCUUUGAACGCACAUUGCGCCCGCCAGUAUUCUGGCGGGCAUGCCUGUUCGAGCGUCAUUUCAACCAUCAAGCCCCCGGCUUGUGUUGGGGACCUGCGGCUGCCCGCAGGCCCUGAAAAACAGUGGCGGGCUCGCUGUCACACCGAGCGUAGUAGCAUACAUUCUCGCUCAGGGCGUGCUGCGGGUUCCGUUAAACGACCUUCAUAACCCAAGGUUGACCUCGGAUCAGGUAGGAAGACCCGCUGAACUUAAGC
rnacentral:misc_RNA from 1 species